rnacentral:rRNA from 1 species
GUCCACGCCGUAAACGAUGGAUACUAGCUGUUCGGGGCAACCUGAGUGGCUAAGCGAAAGUGAUAAGUAUCCCACCUGGGGAGUACGUUCGCAAGAAUGAAACUCAAAGGAAUUGACGGGGCCCGCACAAGCGGUGGAGCAUGUGGUUUAAUUCGAUGAUACGCGAGGAACCUUACCAGGGCUUAAAUGUAGUCUGACAGGCUUGGAAACAGGUUUUUCUUCGGACAGAUUACAAGGUGCUGCAUGGUUGUCGU